rnacentral:rRNA from 1 species
UACGUAGGAGACGAGCGUUGUCCGGAGUUACUGGGCGUAAAGGGUGCGCAGGUGGCGGCGCGCGUGGGGGGUGAAAUCGCCCGGCUUAACUGGGCGGGGGCCUUCCAGACGGCGUGGCUUGAGCAGCGGAGGGGGACGUGGAAUUCCGCGUGUAGCAGUGAAAUGCGUAGAGAUGCGGAGGAACACCGAUGGCGAAGGCAGCCCCCUGGGCUAACACUGACGCUCAGGCACGAAAGCGUGGGGAGCAAACAGG